AUGUUAUUUGUCUGCUUCUUUCACGGCUUUACCUGCAGGUUGGUGUUAAGAAAAAAAAUAGUGGAAUCUCUGUUCUCACCAAGAUCCGCCGCUCGUCUCCAAACCGACGAACACCACUCCGCCACUGCGAUCUCCGAUCCACCCCCACAGCUUCUGCUCGACAACAUCAACCGCACAUCACCAAACCAGCAACUGACGCUGAUAGCCGCGUCACUCACCCAGCCACUCGGAAUCAGAACUGUCGCCGCUCCCAAACUCGUUUAUCUCCGAUAA